AAACUCAGCCGGCAGGAAAGACUGCGAUGCAUCGCGGGAUAAAAAGCCAACAAGGAGAAGUAGCGGGGCUGAAAUAAAGCGUUAGGACCGACGCGUCGUCACACGAGUAAUCGUGCAGCUGGACCCAUGGUCUGGUCCUGCGAUGGACUGGCGACCUGUCCAGGGUGCACCCCGCCUCCCGCCCAUAGCCAGCUGGGAUAGGCUCCAGCCCCCCCGCGACCCCAUGUACAGGAUUAAGCGGUUGAAGAUGGAUGGAUGGACCCAUGGUCUGUGAGUGAAGCGCAGACGAGUUACCCAACAUUACAAGGAGCUGGCGGUUCGGCGGUCCUUGCAUCUGGCAAGGACCGGAAACCAGAAACAGAAAAACAGCCUAAACAGAAGGGUUGAAUGAGCACUGAGUACACAAAGACUCUUAGAAGGGACAACCAUCUUGUUUUUCCAGCCACUAACAGCAGAUGAGGAAAAGAAGAGAGUUGUGGCUAAAUGAAGAAUCUGUGGCUUUCUAACAACUGUCUGCUUUGAUUCGAAAUAAAAAGCUGCUAAACAAGUUAGAAAUUAU